AACGCAUAUUGCACUCUCUGGCAUUCCGGAGAGUAUGCCUGUUUCAGCAUCAGAAAUCUCAAUCAACCUUCUUCCUUUUGGAAAGGUUGGAUCUGGGCAUCGCAUGCAAAGAAAGAAGGAUCCUUCUUUUUUUCCUUUGUGUGCUUGCCUGAAAUUCAAUCGUGGAACGCCUAAAAAAGCCAAAUCAAAAGGUGUCAUAGUUGGAUUUGUCAAUCCAUCUUUCACCGAAUUUUUUGUGCCGUUAGGUGGUUGGUCUGCGUUUUCUGCCUGUCCUCUGCGAGGCAGCGGAAAAAGAAACCCCUUUUUCAAUUUGAUCUGAAAUCAGGUAGGAUUACCCGCUGAACUUAA
rnacentral:misc_RNA from 1 species